UACAGAGGGGGCAAGCGUUGUUCGGAAUUACUGGGCGUAAAGGGCGCGUAGGCGGCCUGUUAAGUCGAACGUGAAAUCCCCGGGCUCAACCCGGGAACUGCGUCCGGUACUGGCAGGCUUGAAUUCGGGAGAGGGAUGUGGAAUUCCAGGUGUAGCGGUGAAAUGCGUAGAUAUCUGGAGGAACACCGGUGGCGAAGGCGGCAUCCUGGACCGAUAUUGACGCUGAUGCGCGAAAGCCAGGGGAGCAAACGGG
rnacentral:rRNA from 1 species